ensembl:lncRNA
GCAUGUGCAGAACGGAUCCAAGAAACGGCCAAAACGAAAAUCUAACGGCGCGAAGUGGCGAAAGACAGUAAGAGGAGAGUAUCACAUGGAUGAAGCCAAGCGACCCCAGCGGUGCUGAAAAGAGGAGGAAGAAGGAAGAAAAACAAACAUUUACGUCAAAGUUGCAGAAAGUGACAAGUUUCUUCACUGCUCCUGCGGCAGCGGCCAGCAGCAGCAACCCACCACCUGCUCAACCGACGUGGACACCUGAGGAGGCUCCGUCCUGUGCAAAUGAACAAAAUGAGACAGGGAUGUGCUGUGAGAGCUCUCCAGCAUCAUCCACUGUACUUGCAGAACAUGAUCCAGCACUCUGGCCAAAACAGCUGUCGGAUAGUGCACGAUGCUCAAUAGUGGAGAGAGGAGCACUUCAGCUGUGGAGGAAGGACCUUUUCACCACCCCCCCCCCCCCCGCGGUGAGCUUCGCGUCCACCCAGACGCCCGAGACGGGGUUUUCAGAGCAUGCAAGCUCCUUCUCCCACCGGUACAAUAAGGCGGGAUGUCAGUCACCAAGAAAGGUUCUGACUUCACAAACAAAUCAUCAUUGGUUUUAUUUUGAGGUGACGUGGCAGAAUGUCAAAGCAGCCUUUAUAGACCCGCUCUGUUCCAAUGGGUGGCUGCAUUUUAGGAAACAUACGAGUGAGAGGAAGAAUACAGCGAAACGAGUCGCGAUGGUCAAACUGUCUCUUUUGCUCUUUUCUUCAGGUGAAAAGUUGGGAAGACAUCGUUAACGCUGCAGACUUCCGAGGCCAUUUGUUCUACGGCCAAUUCAUGUUUAUCUUCAUUAUGGGUUAGGGUUCUUGAAAAUGUUGUGGGUUGAAUAAAGUAAUUUAUAAAGGC